UGGGGAAUAUUGGACAAUGGGGGGAACCCUGAUCCAGCCAUGCCGCGUGUGUGAAGAAGGCCUUAUGGUUGUAAAGCACUUUAAGCGAGGAGGAGGGUACUGGUAUUAAUACUACCAGGUACUGGACGUUACUCGCAGAAUAAGCACCGGCGAACUCUGUGCCAGCAGCCGCGGUAAUACAGAGGGUGCGAGCGUUAAUCGGAUUUACUGGGCGUAAAGCGUGCGUAGGCGGCUAAUUGAGUCGGAUGUGAAAUCCCCGAGCUUAACUUGGGAAUUGCAUUCGAUACUGGUUAGCUAGAGUGUGGGAGAGGAUGGUAGAAUUCCAGGUGUAGCGGUGAAAUGCGUAGAGAUCUGGAGGAAUACCGAUGGCGAAGGCAGCCAUCUGGCCUAACACUGACGCUGAGGUACGAAAGCAUGGGGAGCAAACAGG
rnacentral:rRNA from 1 species